UCUUCUAACUUAGCUAUUUUACUUAGUCCUUGAAAGUUUAUUACUUGAUGCUAGGUGAUUGCUAAAGAAAGCCUUCCACUAGUUUUUCUAAAUUCUUGAGAGCUCACUGGAAUUAUCAUCUUCAAGGCAUUUGUCAUUUGCUUAAGUAAUUGAGGCUAACUAUGUUUGUUGCUCUAAAAUCCUUGCUACUGAUCUUUCCAAAUUUUGAGCAUCUAUGGUUCUAAGUUCUCAUCUAAAGCUUGCUAUGUUGCAAUCUAUAUGAAUGCUAUUUACGUAAAGGAUGUUGGGGAGAAUUACCUUGCUUUGGUGAGUCCUUAAUUGUUGGGCAGCUCAAGAGCUUCCUCCCUCUCCUCUCAUUCCUUGCUACUCUUUGCCGAGAAGUUUCUAAGUGGUAAAAAGGUGAAGCAAGAGGUGUGGUUAAGAGACAACUCAUGCUAUCUCUAGGAGACUACUAAUUGACUCCUUGGCAUGGAGUGGGGAUCAAGAAUCGAGAUGUGUGUAGAGAGGAUCCUCAAAGAUUUGUGGAGUUAAUGGCACUUGUUUCUUUACUCCCUUUAGCUCUCUUAGGAAAAUUUCUUUUGUAAAGUAGAUAUAUCUUCUCUACUUGUUCCAACACCAAAAUCCAUGUAAUCCUUUUCAUGAAAGGUAGUUCUCCUAUAUUGUAAGGUAUACCUCCAACCUUUCUUCUUUUGAAUAAAUUCCAAUAAACACUUGUACACCUA